rnacentral:rRNA from 1 species
UACGUAGGGUGCAAGCGUUAAUCGGAAUUACUGGGCGUAAAGCGUGCGCAGGCGGUUAUGUAAGACAGGGGUGAAAUCCCCGGGCUUAACCUGGGAACUGCAUUUGUGACUGCAUAGCUAGAGUACGGUAGAGGGGGAUGGAAUUCCGCGUGUAGCAGUGAAAUGCGUAGAUAUGCGGAGGAAUACCGAUGGCGAAGGCAACCCCCUGGGAUAACACUGACGCUCAUGCACGAAAGCGUGGGGAGCAAACAGG